rnacentral:lncRNA from 1 species
AUUUAGAGCAAAUCUGACACAGGUUUAUUUGUUUAUCAGGUCAAGGUCUAUCUGCCCUGAAAGUUUCAGAUGAAUCGGACAACCUGUUGUUGGGUUGCUGCCCAUAAAUUGGUAAUUUAAAGGAAAUUUUACUGUUUUUUGUUAUUAUUAUCUUUAAUAUUAUUAUAGAUAGAGAUAAACUGUAAACAGCAAUAAUGUUCAGCAAAGUAAGAUUUACAAAUAAGUCAA